UAAAUGUUUCAUAUCUCUUACUCCUGAAACAGUCCAUGCCGUGUCUGUCCCAGCCGUUUUAUAGAGCAAACACGGGAAGCAAUAUAAAGCAUUUGCAUGACUAGAUCCAGCUAGCCAAGCCUUCCUCUUGUCACUGUGACUGUGACAGUUAAUAAAGAGUAGACGCCGGUCAGGGUCCUGCGCAGCGAGAAAUACGGCCGCCAUCUUGGUCCGGUCGAGCUUCCCAUACACUCCAGUCAUUCGUAUGGUGAUUCAGCGAUGCCGGAGCACUGUGCGGUGUAUUCCUGUGCCAAUAGGCGGACGGUAGCGAGCAGGGCUCAAGGAAUAACUUUUCACAGCCAGAAAAAACAGGAACACAUCUGCCUCCAGAAGAUCUGAGGAGAGCCUGUCUGAGACUCCUCAGGAUGGCCCGGUGGCCUCAACCUCACAUUCAGAACCUCGGCCUAAAGAUCUACACCCACCACGUCCCUUCCUGCCACCCCGAAGCAAAGCAUCGGCUCCAGUAUGUGCUGCUCGUGGACUGUCAUGGCGCACUGACCCGCUGCCGUUACGCACAGAUGCAGCGGCAUUUCUGUCUCAGUGGACAACUGAACAUCUUCAUCAGAGGGUGAAUAUUCCUCUUCAGAAUAUGAGUAAGCCAUUACUUGACAAAGUACUUUGUCAGCAUUGACCAGACCUCUCGGUACGGUGAGUUUUCUCACUCUAAAAUGUGCCGUCUUGCGCUCUGAUACGCUCCGACGGCGAGUCUCGUCUCCUCGGUUUUCAAACUCUGUAAACUCCAAAACUUUGCAUGAAAACACGCCCGCAACUGAUGCUCAGAUUGAAGUUCCAGAUGUCCGCCAUCUCCUGGUGUACAGUACAUGAGGCACACGAAGCAGUAUAUUUGAAGCUAUGGCUUGUUAUGUUCAGCAAUGUUGCUUGUGGCAAUAUUGCGACUUUGGCGCUUAAAGGGUUAAAUUGCAAGUUCAAUACUAAUU